rnacentral:rRNA from 1 species
GACGAACGCUGGCGGCGUGCUUAACACAUGCAAGUCGAACGGAAAGGCCCUGCUUGCUGGGUACUCGAGUGGCGAACGGGUGAGUAACACGUGGGUGCUCUGCACUGUACUUCGGGAUAAGCCUGGGCAACUGGAAAUAAUACCGAAUACGAGCCAUUUUUAGCGUGUUGGUUGGAAAGUUUUUUCGGUGUAGGAUGAGCUCGCGGCCUAUCAGCUUGUUGGUGGGGUAAUGGCCUACCAAGGCGGCGACGGGUAGCCGGCCUGCGGGGGUGGGCGGCCACAUUGGGACUGAGAGGCGGCCCAGACUGCGACGGGUGGCAGCAGGGGGGAAGAUUGCACAAGCAGCGCAGGCCUGAUGCAGCGAGGCCGCGUGGGGGAGGACGGCCUUCUGGUUGUAAACUCCUUUCGCUAGGGACGAAGCUUGUUGUGACGGUACCUAGAGAAGAAGCACCGGCUAACUACGUG